rnacentral:rRNA from 1 species
GGCAUGCUGGAGGUAUCAGAAGUGCGAAUGCUGACAUAAGUAACGAUAAAGCGGGUGAAAAGCCCGCUCGCCGGAAGACCAAGGGUUCCUGUCCAACGUUAAUCGGGGCAGGGUGAGUCGACCCCUAAGGCGAGGCCGAAAGGCGUAGUCGAUGGGAAACGGGUUAAUAUUCCCGUACUUGGUGUUACUGCGAAGGGGGGACGGAGAAGGCUAUGUUGGCCGGGCGACGGUUGUCCCGGUUUAAGCGUGUAGGUGUGUGUUCCAGGUAAAUCCGGUUCACUUUAACACUGAGGCGUGAUGACGAGGCACUACGGUGCUGAAGUAACAAAUGCCCUGCUUCCAGGAAAAGCCUCUAAGCAUCAGGUAACAUCAAAUCGUACCCCAAACCGACACAGGUGGUCAGGUAGAGAAUACCAAGGCGCUUGAGAGAACUCGGGUGAAGGAACUAGGCAAAAUGGUGCCGUAACUUCGGGAGAAGGCACGCUGACACGUAGGUGAAGUGAUUUACUCACGGAGCUGAAGUCAGUCGAAGAUACCAGCUGGCUGCAACUGUUUAUUAAAAACACAGCACUGUGCAAACACGAAAGUGGACGUAUACGGUGUGACGCCUGCCCGGUGCCGGAAGGUUAAUUGAUGGGGUCAGCGCAAGCGAAGCUCCUGAUCGAAGCCCCGGUAAACGGCGGCCGUAACUAUAACGGUCCUAAGGUAGCGAAAUUCCUUGUCGGGUAAGUUCCGACCUGCACGAAUGGCGUAAUGAUGGCCAGGCUGUCUCCACCCGAGACUCAGUGAAAUUGAACUCGCUGUGAAGAUGCAGUGUACCCGCGGCAAGACGGAAAGACCCCGUGAACCUUUACUAUAGCUUGACACUGAACAUUGAGCCUUGAUGUGUAGGAUAGGUGGGAGGCUUUGAAGUGUGGACGCCAGUCUGCAUGGAGCCGACCUUGAAAUACCACCCUUUAAUGUUUGAUGUUCUAACGUGGACCCGUUACCCGGGUUGCGGACAGUGUCUGGUGGGUAGUUUGACUGGGGCGGUCUCCUCCUAAAGAGUAACGGAGGAGCACGAAGGUUGGCUAAUCCUGGUCGGACAUCAGGAGGUUAGUGCAAUGGCAUAAGCCAGCUUGACUGCGAGCGUGACGGCGCGAGCAGGUGCGAAAGCAGGUCAUAGUGAUCCGGUGGUUCUGAAUGGAAGGGCCAUCGCUCAACGGAUAAAAGGUACUCCGGGGAUAACAGGCUGAUACCGCCCAAGAGUUCAUAUCGACGGCGGUGUUUGGCACCUCGAUGUCGGCUCAUCACAUCCUGGGGCUGAAGUAGGUCCCAAGGGUAUGGCUGUUCGCCAUUUAAAGUGGUACGCGAGCUGGGUUUAGAACGUCGUGAGACAGUUCGGUCCCUAUCUGCCGUGGGCGCUGGAGAACUGAGGGGGGCUGCUCCUAGUACGAGAGGACCGGAGUGGACGCAUCACUGGUGUUCGGGUUGUCAUGCCAAUGGCACUGCCCGGUAGCUAAAUGCGGAAGAGAUAAGUGCUGAAAGCAUCUAAGCACGAAACUUGCCCCGAGAUGAGUUCUCCCUGAGACUUUAGGUCUCCUGAAGGAACGUUGAAGACGACGACGUUGAUAGGCCGGGUGUGUAAGCGCAGCGAUGCGUUGAGCUAACCGGUACUAAUGAACCGUGAGGCUUAACCUUACAACGCCG